rnacentral:rRNA from 1 species
CUACGGGGCGCAGCAGUGGGGAAUCUUAGACAAUGGGCGCAAGCCUGAUCUAGCCAUGCCGCGUGAGCUAUGAAGGCCUUAGGGUUGUAAAGCUCUUUCGUGGGGGAAGAUAGUGACUGUACCCCAAGAAGAAGCCCCGGCUAACUCCGUGCCAGCAGCCGCGGUAAUACGGAGGGGGCUAGCGUGUGUUCGGAAUUACUGGGCGUAAAGCGCACGUAGGCGGACUGGAAAGUCAGAGGUGAAAUCCCAGGGCUCAACCUUGGAACUGCCUUUGAAACUCCCAGUCUUGAGGUCGAGAGAGGGGAGUGGAAUUCCGAGUGUAGAGGUGAAAUUCGUAGAUAUUCGGAGGAACACCAGUGGCGAAGGCGGCUCACUGGCUCGAUACUGACGCUGAGGUGCGAAAGCGUGGGGAGCAAACAGGAUUAGAUACCCCGGUAGUC